AGAUAGUGACGGACCUCAAAGCAAAGUAAUUUUGAAUCUGAAAAUACUUAACAACGGAAAACUUAGACAACAACAACCUCGACAAAACUGCGAACCUUCCCGGAACCUCAGACUACGACCUUCGACGAGCUCGAAACUCGUCGGAAAACUCGAAUUAAACCAAAAAAAUAAAACCAACGGACUCUGUGACAGUGACUGGCGAUUUGGAGCGGCUUCGUGCUAUUUAGGGUGCUUUGUAGGUGAAUUUUGCAACUGCCUUUUUCGAAGAUAAGACAAUUGGUUUUACAUGGUUAUGGAGGUUUAAUGGAGUAUGGAGAAGAAAAGGUUAACAAUGGUGGAAAAGCCAAUUUCUUAGAAGUGGGAUCGAGAAGAUGACUGCGGCGCUAGAGAUUCCUUCCUACUGGUUCCCCUGUUUCUUUUUCCUGCCUCCCCGUUAAUUGUUGCCUCUUCUCACUCUCUAUUUUUGACGUUCCUUUCCUCCUCUCAUUCUCACUAUUUCUCUCAAUUUCCCCUAUAUCUCUUCUUAGCUAUCACUCUCUGUCCAUGCUUUCUCUCUGUUCUCACUAGGCGUGACUCUCCUUCUAUCUAUGUUUGUGUGCAGCUGCCUAGGAUCCUUAGGGUUAGAAAAGGUUAUAAUUAGGAUUUUAAAUAGGUGUGGGUAAAUAACAAGGUCCAUUAGAUUAAAAGAAAUGAAUGGGUAGGAUUGAAAGGGGUGUUGGGCGGGUCAGCAGGUCUAGUGGGCUAAUGGAAUUGAGCUGGCCGAUUUUGAGCCUCUUUUGUCCCAAAGCAAGAUAAAAUAAUGAGCCUAAACUAUUAAAAUACUAUCAAAAUGUUAAUUAAUCCUUUGUAAGUAGAGUAAACUAUUAAAAUAAAACUGUUUUUGGUAUUUUUCAAAUAUCAUACUAAAGAUAAAAAUAGAAGUAGGUUAAAAUCAUAGAAAAAUUAAAAUAAUAUCACUUCGAAAAAGAAAACUAAGGACAUUAAAUAAAUAUAUGUAUAAAUAUGAGAAAUAUUAUAAGGAUGAAACUAUUUUUGUAGUUUUCAAUUUUAUUCUUUAAAACUAGAAUUAAAAUUUAUAAUAGAGUGAAAUCCUAUAGAAAUAAACUCAAAUAAUUAUUCUAAAAAUACUAAGACUACUAAAGAUAAUCCUAAUGUGCGGGUCAAAAAUUACGUGCUUACAGCUGCCCCUCUUUGCUCGGAAAUACGAAGUGUUUUUGAGCAAAGAAUCAAAUAAGCGACGUAAUUGAUUUCUUACCCGACACUUAUUCAAAAGAAAAUAAAGACGGAUAAAAGAGUGUGACCAAGCCCUUGUGUCCGAGCUGCCUACAUAUCUUUGGCUAUAAAGGAAUCAGGCCACGUGUAGUUCAGAGGUGAAUGAAGUGAUGGAGUAUGUGGAGAGGAUGAGAGAGUCGAGUGAGGUACCAUUCGAGGCUCCGGUCUGUGGUCCCUGCCAUUUACAUCAAACAUAAAAGCAAAAAUUAUAGCAAAAAUAAAAUAAAAAUACAAGAUCCUAUCUACUUCUUAUCUUGAAUCUCCGCUUGAUCAUUCAACAUGAAACUAACAAUCAACCCUAUUCUUCAGGUGGGCAUCCUGCAGACUCGAACUUGAAGAAAACUGAAAGUUGACCCUGUUUUUCAGGCGGGCUCCUGACUCUUGCACUUGAAAUAAACUUGAACUUGGAGUAGACUUGAGCUUGUAAACCUUGUUCUUCAGGCGGCUCGUGCUACUUCUGAUUUGACUUGAAAAAACUGGAGGUUAACCCUAUUCUUCAGGCGGGAUCCUGCUGCCUCUGACUUGAACUUCUGAAAGUUGACCCUGUUCUUCAGACGGGCUCCUGAUGCUUCUCUAACUUGAACUUGAAAACUGAAAGUUGACCCUAUUCUUCAAGCGUGCUCUUGAUGCUUCUCUAACUUGAACUUGAAAACUAAAAGUUGACCAUGUUCUUCAGGCGGGCUCUUGAUUGAUCUUGAAAGAAACUGAAAGUUGACCAUGUUCUUCAGACGGGCUCCUGGUACUUCUCUGAUUUGAGCUUAAAACCGAUUUCUGAAAUAUUGACCUCGUUCUCCAGGUGGGUGUCUCCAAUCAAAACAAACAAAACAAAAAAAAUUUCUGCCCCAGUUUGCACUAGGAAGAUUUGUGAGUUGUUAGAAAAACUAUAAAUCGCCUAUGCUAUUGAUGAAGGAUGGAAUGACGAGAGUAAAAUUAAAGACUCGACUAGGAUGUGCGUCUCAUGUGAGAUUGAGCUCAAGGAAAACUAUAAAAUGAGCUUGACUAAACUAAAAAUUGAUCCUAUUCUCUAGGCGGGACCCCUGAACUCAAGGAAAACUAAUGAUUAACAACCUAAGAAAACUAAAAACUGACCCUAUUCUCCCGGCGGGACCCCUAAACUCAAGAAAAACUAAAGACUAACAAUGUAAGGAAACUAAAAACUGAACCUAUUCUCCAGGCGGGACCCCUAAACAUAAAGAAAGCCAAAGAUUAAUAACUUAAGGAAACUACAAUUGACCCUAUUCUACAUGCGGGACCCCUGAACUAAAGAAAAACUAAGAUUAAUAACUUAAGAAAACUAAAAGCUAACCCUAUUCUCCAAGCGGGACCCCUGAGCUUAAGAAAAGCUAAAUAUUAACAACUUAAGGAAACUUAAAACUGACCCUAUUCUCCAGGCGAUAGCCUUGAACUUAAGGAAAACUAACGAUUAACAACUCAAGAAAAUUAAAAGCUGACUCUAUUCUCUAGGCGGGACCCCUUAAUUUAAGGAAAACUAACGAUUAACAACUUAAGGAAACUAAAAUUGACCCUAUUAUCCAGGCGGGACCCCUGAACUCAAGUAAAACUAAAGACUAACAACUUAAGGGAACUAAAAACUGGCCCUAUUUUACAGGCGGGACCCCUGAACUCAAGGAAAGCUAAAGAGUAACAACUUAAGAAAAUUAAAAUCUGACCCUAUUCUCCAGGCGGGACCCCUGAAUUUAAGGAAAACUAAAGAUUAACAACUUAAGAAAACUAAAAUUGACCUUGUUCUGCAGGCGGGACCCCUGAACUCAAGUAAAACUAAAGGCUAACAACUUAAGGGAACUAAAAACUGGCCCUAUUUUAUAGGUGGGAUCCCUGAACUAAUGGGAGCCAAAGAUUAAUAAUUUAAGGAAACUAGAAUUGACCCAAUUCUACAGGAGCCCUGAACUAAAGGAAAACUAAGACUAACCACUUAACAAAACUAAAAGGUCACCUUAUUCUCUAGGCGGGACCCCUGAACUCAAGAAAACUAAUGAUUCUUCUCAACUAGGGGAAUGCCUAGGAAGUAUGGUUCUUCUCAACUAGGAAAAAUGCCUAGGAGGUAAUGAUCUUCUCAACUAAGAAAAUACCUGAGGGUAAUGAGAUUCUCAAACAGCCUAUACUUCAUUAAAACAAUCAUGUGAUCUUUUUCUCUUUUUUUCUUUUUUUUUUUAAUUAAAAAAAUUGGUUGACUCGUGACAAACUUGUAAGCUGAAUUUUAAGCAUUAUUGUUUGACUUGGCUUGCCAGGGUUGAAUUGAAUUGGUUUCAAAGAAGGUCUAAAGUGAUUCGCCCAUGGGAUUCGACCAAGUUCAUUCCUAUCACUUCACUCAAAUUUUCAAAAUUAAUUCAUUCUUUUCAGUUGAAUUGUCAAAUAAGUCAUUUCCCUUUACCAGGAUUGACGAAUUGAUCGUCUAUUUCACAUUGAUUGCCAAAACUGAUCAUCUGCCUUCCUAAUUUGGGACUUCUUUGUGGCAAAUUUAAAAAUUCUUUCUUGCUUGUAUUGAGCAAAAGAAGAAGAACAAAUGCACAAGUAAAAAUCAAAGAGAGUGGUGUAUGAUGAGAUUCCACUGAGAAGGAGAGCUUAUCUAAAAUGAAGAAUAAGGUAAAGGAAUGUGACAUGCAUUUAGACCAAUAACUUGAUUUGUCAAUCUUUUCAAACUUGUUGACUCUUCAAAUUCUUACGUGAUGUUGAUGAGUUGGUCUACUUUGCUCCUCCAAAUGUGCCGCAGAUGUUGCAUGUUUUCAUCAAAAACAUUUUGUUGCACACAUAUCUCACCAUUUUGACUUGUAGUGCCUCGAAAGGUUUUCACCGACAAGUCUCUCUCAUUUUUCUCUUUGCUCUCAUUCAUUGCCGCUUUCAAUUCUUAGCUUGGUUAAUUGACUACCCCUUCAAUCGUUAUUGAUUUUUACAAAAAUCUUGAUAAGCUCAUAACAUGCUUGACUUAGCAUUUUCAAGAAUCAAUCUGAUAAGGACUUUUAUUUGAAUCGUAAUGAAGGCUUUUGGACAAGGUGAGAAACAAAGGACUGCAUGGAGACUCAAAAUUGUAAUGACGGGGUUACUUUAUUUACAACUUUUGGGAUCCAUUUUAAACACUUUGCCCUAGUUUCUACAACAGGAGAAUUUAUUUUUUUUCCUUUUUGAGAUGGAAUUUCUAAGAAAACUGCCCCCUCUUGACUUCGUGGGAUUAUGAAAUAUUUUAUUUGGUGCGACCGAACCGUAAGGCUGCCUACGUAUCUUGUGGUAACAAGAAUCAGGUCGAACGCAGUUCAAAAGAAUACUUUUUUGUUGUUGCCAAUUUUUUUUUCUUCCCUUUUUCUUCUUUUUUUCUUUUUUUUUGAUUCCUUUUUUUCUUUAUCUCUUUCCUUUUCUUCUUUUUUUUCUUUCGGUAUGAACUUCUAAAACAAACCUUAUGGGGACAUGGAUUUUUUUUAGUGACUCUAACUUGAUUCCAAAAGAGGAGAGGUCAAAGAAAUCAACACUGGCUCAAAAGGGUACCGAAGGGUAUAAAGUAUUUGGGUAACUGAAAGAGGGCCUCCCAAUCUCUGAAAAUGGCAAGUACAUCACAUGCAACUUGAGGAUAAAAAAUAAAAAUCAUGGCACAAUAUUUCUUUUGCAGCUUCAGCAUUGAUAUCACUUAUCUGCCUUCCACUUUUUUUUAGUGCCUUGUCAAGUAUAGAACUCUCGUUGGGUGAUUGCUUCUUCACACUAGAUACCGUCCAUCAGUUUAGGACAAACUCCCUUGGCUUUAUCUUAUAACUUGAGAUGCACUUGAACUCAAAUUUCUUUGUUUCAAAUUGUCCAAGACGCACUCUCUUUUAACAAAUUCUUGUCGUCCUCUUAACUUCACAAAAUGUCUGCCUCAGUUUCACACAAUUCGGGCUUUAAAUGACCUCAAAAUGUCCAAAUCUUUACUUAUUUUCCCUCAAAUGUCCCUGUCAUCUUCAAACCUUGUUUCAUUGCUUCAUGAUUAGACUAACUUUCAAGACCAGGCUGAGAAUUAUGCGUGCAUGUCAUGUCACUAGAAUCACCAUGAAGAGAACUAAACAAAAACUGACUAAAAAUAACAGAAAACAGGAGAUUGCAUUAGGACAGACGAUGAAAGGGUUUGAACAACAAAAUAAGCAAAAUAGACAUGGGUUACAACCCUGGAACAAUCCUAGAUAACACUAGAUGAGUUACUACAACUAAACACACUACGCAAAAUAAGAGGAAGAAGGGUUUGAGCGACAAGACAAUAUUCAGAUUACAACCGUGAAAUAACCCGGACAACAGAAACGACGACAAAAUAAACUACCAAGACUCCUCCAUGGCUAACCAAGAAAGGAGUGUCUUUCCAAUUUCUAAGCUCGACAUCUAAGCCACUGAGUCACACAUCAACGUUACUAGGACCUUCACAAAUCUCCAUCACAUUGACCUCAGCAAAUUGCUUUUGGGUCCCUUUUGCCACCUCGUUCUUAAGAUCAACUUUUGGAACCGAGACUGAUAGCGGUGAAAACUUUGCAAAAAGUGGUCCUCCAAGAAACUCAGAAGAGUUCUCAUAUUCCUUUUCAACACAAAUUAUGCCCACCAUAUGCAUCUCAUUAUGAACAGGCAAUGGACUUUGGCUAGUAAUCGCUGCAUCUAGAUUUUGCACGAUAAUGUCACCUGAAUCAAUAAGCUUCUGGACUGCUCUUUUCAAAUUCCAACACUUUUCUAUGUUGUGCCCUGGGGAAUUAAAGCAAUAUGUGCACCUUUGAGAAUAAUCAAAAUUCUUUGGAAGGGGGUUCGAUAUUUUUAUCUGAAUAGGCUUCAACAUGUCCAAUUGCCUCAACUUUUGGAACAAACUGGCAUAUGAUUCUCCAAUAGAAGUGAGACUUUUCCUUUUGUUGCUGCCUUUUCAUUUUGUACUCCGGCCUUGGUAGGAACCUCUUGCGGGUAGGUGGUUUAUAUGCCUGUAGAGGUGGGUAAGACAUUUGUGGAGGUGGUGUAGGCCAUUGCGGGUCUGGUGGAUGUGAAGCAUAUAGCGGUGCGUUGUGGAUAGAGUACCGGAAAAGUAAGGUAUGACUUUGGGGAUUUUGUGGAGAGAAGUAGCAUUGGGGAGGAUUAUCUGGAGUACGGGGAUAUUCAUAAGAUCGAUGUUGUGGAUAAGAGUGUUGAGGAAGAAGGCCCACCAGAUCUCGUCGUUUCCGGGGCUCAACAACAUCUUUUCUGUUUCUUUUUCUUCCACCCAAACCUACGGAUACGUGUUGAAUAACCUCUGUGGUGUCUCUCAACGUAGGGCAACUCAUGAAUUUGCCUGAAUUGAUUCCUUCUUCUACCAUCUCCCCCAUUUUCACCACAUCAUUGAAAGGCUUACCUAAAGAUGGGAUCAAAUGACUGAAGUAGGUGGGUACCUCAGCUUGUAGGAAAAGCUUAACCAUUUCUUCAUCAUCAAUCGGGGGACUGACCCAAGUAGCUUGUUCCCUCCAUCUGAGCACAAACUCCCUAAAACUUUUAUCAGGUUUCUUUUCCAUCUUAGAUAGGGAGGAACGAUCUAAGAUAAUGUCUAUAUUGUACUAAAAGUGUCGAAUAAAAUCUUGAGCCAUGUCAUCCCAUGUAUGCCAAUUACUGACAUCUUGACGAGUAUACCAUUCCAAGGCUGCCACACUCCAGCUCUCACUGAAAUAUGCCAUCAACAAAUCAUCUUUCCCGCCAACACUUCUCAUUUCAUUGCAAUAACCCCUCAAAUGGGCUACUGGAUCUCCAAGCCCAUCAUACAAGUUAAAGUUUGGCAUUUUAAACACCGCGGGCGGAUGAAUAUUGGGAAACAUAGACAAGUCAUUGUAGGACACGUUAAUCUGAUUUCUCAUCCCUUGCAUAUUCUUUAAGGAGUGUUCUAUACCCUUCAGCUUUCUGGAUAUCUCAUCUCGCUCUUUUCUCCUUGUGAACUUUUCAUUUUCAACAUGAGGCUCAUUCCGAGGGCUAUGAUUGUAUGAGUCCGGGACCUGGUUGGCCAACUAUGGGAGGUAGUAUUGGGUAUCAUGAGGUUUGAACAAGUGUUCACCGUUGGACCUAAAAGGAGGUUGUUGAGAAGUUGUGAUGGUGGAGGUAGCAGAUAUGACAGGAGGAAUAUUUUUGGGAAAGGUAGCUAGAGGACGAACGAUGGAGCUGCUAGGGAGGUUGGGAAAGUUGUGAUAAACGGGAAAAUCUAGAGAGUAUGGUGGAUCUUCUAGCACUAUGACCAGAGCUUGGGUAAGGGUAGCAUCUAAGAAGCUAGGUGGUGGUGGGGAUAGUGUCUUCCCAGCCAUCCAAGCCUGGUACAUAUCCGCCAUAUAUUAUCUUAAAAUCCUUAACUCUUCAACCAACCCAGUAUCCUGUUCAACCAAUUGCUUUUGGGCCCAGUAUCAACCAACUCAAUUCCGUUGUCGUCUGCCAUUGCCUUUCGACUUUAUGUUGUAGGGAAAAAGUUACUAGUUUAAGAACAACAAACCAACCACCCUUGUGCUAUAAUAAAGAUAACAAAGAGGAACAAAAUCAAGUCAUCAUAUUAGUAUUAGGGCAUUUAACAAAAUAUAAUCUCACAUUAUAUGAAAUGCACCUAGUCACAGUUAUCGAUUCUAAAAUGACUUCGAGGGUACGAAGGUCAUAUUGGCAUCAUCCAAAGUUUACUCUUCUUGCCCCUUUUACUCUUCAUUUUUUCUCUUUAACACUUCUUGGUUUUCUCAUUUUCUUUCCUCUCCUUUUCUUUCUGAUUAUCACUCUUUUCUUUCCUCUAACUUCUUACAUCCCACAACAUCAUCACUUUUUUUAAUUCUAAAAAUGAUUUGAUCGAACCCGAUGUAGGUUGCCUACGUAUCAUGUUCCACAUGAAUCAGACCAAACGUAGUUCUGGAAAAGUAAUGGAAAAAAUAAACUAAAAACAAAAAUCUUUUUGGAUUUUUCAUUUAUAAUAUUUUUGGUUUUCACAUACAAAAUAGGAAGUACGAUAACAAAAGAUUCGACGAACUCAACUAGACUAUGACAGACUUUGACACCACCUAAGAGACUCAAUACUAUUGUAUAAGACUAGAAAGUAAAAGACAACAUAAAACAAACUCAAAAAAUAAAAAGUCCCCUUAAACAUCUCCUGAAGGCAACGGUCCUGGCUGGGAAGCUCCUGGGGCGUCUGUCGUGCUCAAGAUCUGGUAAAUGAAUCCAUACCUGAAUGAGAAGAAUAAGACUAAAUAGAGUUAGUGACUCAAGACACUAUGCGAUGCCACAAAACCUUCUAUUGGACACAUGUAAGUCAUGAUUGGGCUAUAUUUGUAAAAUGGCCUACGUGGCCAAGGGUGACUAUUAGUACGAACUCAACAAAAAUGACCUCCAAGACAUGGAAAUAUCUCACUAAAGCUUAUAUGGCUUCAAACUCCCAAUAAUCAUGGCCCUAGAAAUUACUUUGCAAAAAUGACCCAUUUUGCAAAAAUGGAUGAUAUGGCCAAACACGGCAAGAGAUGCAAAUUCAACAAGGACGGAUCUUAAAGUAAUAGGCAAAAUGACCCCAUUUUGCAAGAAUGGUCGAUGUGGAUAAAAAUGGCUAGACAUGCAAAUUCAACAAGGACGUGCCUUAAAAUAAGGAGACAACUAAUUGUGAAUUCAAGACUCUCCGAACACGGUUCAACAAGCCACUUUGCAAAAAUAGCCUUAUUUUGCAAAAGGGUCGAUGUGGCCAAAAGCGGCUAGGCAUGCAAGAUUUGGCUACGACCUCCGAAGCCAAGAACUUAAGACUCACUAGGAAAAUCGGACCCUAUGUGGGCUGCUUACGUAUCCCGCCCAAAAAUAUGAGAAUCAGGUAUGCGUGGUUCGGGAAGAUUGGAUACGGAAGAAAAUUAAAAAAAUAACUGAUUUGGAGAAAACAUAUUUUUUGUCUUUUUGAAAAAUGAUGGAAAAUGUAAAAUCUUUUUGGAUUUUCUUUUUCUCUUGUUUUUUUUUAUUUUUGGAAAAAACUAUGAAAGAAAAAUGUGGAUGGGCCCAACUUGCUUCAUUUUAUACUUCACCCUCUUUUCUUUCUCACUGUUCCGCCAAAUGACCCCUUCACCCUUAAAGAAUACAUCAUGUAGCACAUAGGGAUGGUUAAAUAUCUUUUUGGGCCAUGGGCCCGGUUUGACAUAAUUUGGAUAGGCCUCCUACAACGGGACACAGUGCUUGGGACCGAGCCUUGCUAGGUCUAAAUGACAUGAUGCAAAUAAGCAUGACCUAAAAGAUGACCUACGUUUGGGAUUCACUAGACAAGGUAAUUCAGGGCGACACGUGGUCGAUAGCGGCUGCUCUAGCUUUUCGCUCACUUCACGCUCACAUGCCAUCCCCUAAAGACACGGGUGACUCACAAAAGGCCGUAUAAGCUCAAACGUACUCCGGAAGACUUGUUGCGGAAAAAAGACUCAUAGUUAUGAAAAUGAUGACAGUUUUAAAGCAGUAAACACAUAAAGAAAAAACUGUAAACACAUAAACAACUAGCAAAUAAUAACAAACUAUAAAAACACAACAAAAUUCAGAUAAAGCAAAUAAAAAACAUAAAAACCUCAACUGAAUUUUCUAAAAAGCCAACAAGAUCGUAGUAUCAGCUCGAACCUGCAACUCCCCAGCAGAACCACCAAAACUGUCACACCCCCGUUUCACCUCACUAACCCUCUUUAAAAAUAAUAAAAGAUUUUUGAAGCUUGAAAGGGUUUCAAUUUGAAAAGUGACAAAAAGAUUGCAUCUCGAAGGAAUUUCAUAGUCGCCACCUGACAUUUGGUUUCGGUGUGCCAUGUCACCAUUUUUAAAAUAACAAUUCCCUUCAAAAUACAUUUGACUCUUAAACAAGUUUGCACCAAAGAUUCAGGUAAGAAGGUUCAUUUGACUCAGGGAGAAGGUGUUAGGCAUUUCCUGAGUCCCGUAACUACUACGGUUGAGUACAUGAUCAAAUUGGCUUUUAAGAAUACUCAGAUUGACUUGGAAACACGAAAGAGGCUCGAGGUCAUCCUCGUCUAAUAAAAGAAAAAUAAGAAAAAAGAAAAGAAAGUACUAAAAGAAAAUAUACCAAAAGUUCUAAGCUAUCCUACACUACAUUUCCUCCACGAUGUAGUUUCGGCCUCCGUUUACAUUCACUUCGGGGCAUACCCCAGAUAAAAUAUUUUCAAGCCCUUCGGGGAAUUCCCCGGAUAAAAAUAACAUACUAAAGGGACAACCUCUCACCUCUGAAGCUAAAAUCAUAAACAUCUUAAAGUUUGCCUACGCCAAGCUUUGUCGGCCUAAACAUGCUACUAGCGGAUAAAUUAGUAAAUAGAUCUACGUAAACAAGAGAUUCAGAACCCUAAAAACUUAUGUUUUACCUCAUUCCAUAACUUUUAGGUCCAAUCUUAUUUUAAAGCACAUCUCUACAAACGGUUCUCUUAAAUCCAACAAAUAACAGUCCAAAUUGUCCAAUUCAAAUUAAUGAUUAGUAACCCAUUUACGUUUAGAAUCAACCUUAAACCCAAAUUCGUUUCCUAAUUAACCAAAGCAAUAACUUACAGUAAACCACAAUUUUUAUCAUACAAGUUCAAGAUAUCACAAAUAAGCAUGAAAUUCACACAAGUCCAUCACCCAAACAUCAUAUAAGACAAAAUCAAUAAAUAAAGGGUAAGAUAGUGACGGACCUCAAAGCAAAGUAUUUUUGAUUCUGAAAAUGCUUAACACCAGAAAAUUUAGACAACGACAACCUCGACGGAACCGCGAACCUGUCCGGAACCUUAGACUCGACCUUCGACGAGCUCAAAACUCGUCGGAAAACUCGAAUUAAACCAAAACCAUGAAACCAACAGACUCUGUGACAGUGACUGGCGAUUUGGAGCGGCUUCAUGCUAUUUAGGGUGCUUUGUAGGUGAAUUUCACAGCUGCCUUUUUCGGAGAUAAGACAAUUGGUUUUACAUGAUUAUGGAGGUUUAAUGGAGUAUGGAGAAGAAAAGGUUAACAAUGGUGGAAAAGCCAAUUUCUUAGAAGUGGGAUCGAGAAGAUGACUGCAGCACUAGGGAUUCCUCCCUACUGUUUCCCCUAUUUGUUUCCUGCCUCCCCGUUAAUUGUUUCCUCUUCUCACUCUCUGUUUUUGCCGUUCCUCUCCUCCUCUCGUUCUCACUGUUUCUCUCAAUUUCCCCUCUAUCUCUUCUUAGUUAUCCCUCUCUGUUCGUGCUCUCUCUCUGUUCCCACUAGGCGUGACUCUUCUUCUAUCUAUAUUUGUGUGCAACUGCCUAGGGUCCUUAGGGUUAGAAAAGGUUAUAAUUAGGAUUUUACAUAGGUGUGGGGAAAUAACAAGGGCCAUUAGAUUAAAAAAAAUAUAGGGGUAGGAUUGAAUAGGGUGUUGGCGGGUCAGCAGGCUUAGUGGGCUAAUGGAAUUGGGCUGGCCGAUUUUGGGCCUCUUUUGUCCCAAAGUAAGAUAAAAUAAUGAGCCUAAACUAUUAAAAUACUACCAAAAUAUUAAUUAAUCCUAUGUAAGUAGAGUAAACUAUUAAAAUAAAACUAAACACUAAAAUAAAACUGUUUUUGGUAUUUUUCAAAUAUCAUACUAAAGAUAAAAGUAGAAGUAGGUUAAAAUCAUAGCGAAAUUAAAAUAAUAUCAUUUCCAAAAAUAAAAGUAAGGACAUUAAAUAAAUAUAUGUAUAAAUAUGCGAAAUAUUAUAAGGAUGAAAUUAUUUUUGUAGUUUUCAAUUUUAUGCUUUAAAACUAGAAUUAAAAUUAAUAAUAGAGUGAAAUCCUAUAGAAAUAAACUCAAAUAAAUAUUCUAAAAAUACUAAGACUACUAAAGAUAAUCCUAAUGUGCGAGUCAAAAAUUACGUGCUUACAACCAUCUAACUCGCUUUUGCACUCUUCUAAUGGUUUUGCUUCCUAUAAAAACAGACACUAUAAAAAUAAUAUAAUAAAAAUUAAAAUAAAAGAAAGCAAUAAAGCUAGGUUGCCUCCCAACAAGCGUCUGAUUUAACGUCGUGGCACGACUUGAACCACUUUUUGUCUCCAUCUCGAAUAUGUGAAUUGAGUCCCCAAUUUGGCUUCAUGCUUUUUGCUAUGCUCUCGGGGUGGUGGGACUAAUGUAAUCAGGUCAAGUAAUAAAUUUUGCAUUCUACACUUCUUGGCCUUCAGAUGAGGUAUAUAAUUAUUUCUCUCUGGCACAAUAAGUUCCAAAAUAUAAGCACCUUGUUCCUCAUCCGUUGGCUCCUCCAGAGGCUCGAAUGACUCAAUAUUCAUAUCAUAAUCCAAAUACAGUGUCAAAAAUGCAUGGAAUGAGGACCAAUACUCCCCAGAUCUAGAAUUGCGUCACUAUUUACAUCCUCAUAUGUACACACACUAGAGUCUUCAAAUAUAACAUUAUCUACUUCCUCACAUGACUCUAGCGUUCUUUCCUCAACAUGGACAUCGUCAAUAAAAGUAUGGUCUAAUGCUUGGUAUUCUCGUUUUAGCUCCUCAAUUUGGUCUAGAAGAUUUUUUUCAAUUUCACACAACUCAUCAUUAAAUUGUUGGGCGUUGAACGCAUCAACCUUUGCACUCAAAUUUGCAUCCAACUUGUGCAAAGCCAAGCCAAACUUGUCAAUUUCUUGUGCAAGAUUAACUCUCUCCUUCGACCAAUCAUUCACCAACUUUGAUAGAAGAUAACAUCAUUCCGCAUAUUCCCUUAAUCGUGAAUAUCCAUCCCAAUAUCAACCCUUACUCCCAUAUUCAAAUUCAAACCUCCCAGAGUUCAGGUCAUGACAAGCCCAAAAAGACGGGCCAUAAAAGUCUUCCGUCAACCAAGCGUCUUCACCAAUAACUUUAUUUUCGGAUAUUUCAUCCCCAAAUAUCAUGUUGAGAGAACUAUGAACACACUAAGAGAAAAAUAAAAUUGUUAUAAAAAUAAAAAUAUUUCCAAAAAGAAAAAUAAACAAAACCUGUAAAGAUAAAAAUAAAAGUCUAAUCUAGGAAAAUAACUAAAUAGAAAAAUUAAAAACUUGAACAGAAAUCAAUUAAAAGCUUAACUUAGAUAAAAAAUCAAGAACUAAGUCCCCAGCAACGACGCCAAAAACUUGUUGGUUCCUUAAGUACACGCAAGUAUACGUGACCGUCAAGUAAUAAAGUGACUCAAAAGUCCGAUGUUGAACCCAUAGAGACUUAGAUUAAUCGUUAACUACACAAACAAAAAUUAAUUAGCUGUCCAAGAUAAUAAAUUAAAAAUCUUGAUUAUCCUGUAUUCCCAACAGUUGUGGAGUGGGAGGGACUACCAAAUAUCUACCAUAAACGUUGGCCAUCGAAGUUCCAUAUUAUUGUAGAAAUCAAGCAAGUGGUCUUAUUGAUGAUAACGAAGAAAUACGAGAAAUGUGUGUCAAUUGAGGUUAGAUUAUGAUGCCCUUGGUCCAGCCGGACGCAAACAAGACGAUGACGAAGAAGAUGAAGAAAAUGACAAUAAAGAGACCGACGAAAGUAACAAUAAAUUAGUUCCCGACAGUGACGAUAAUGACUAAUGAAAAUAUUUCUUUUUUUUUCCUCAUGUUUUUGUUAAGUUUGUUAUUGAAUUUUCAAUGCAAAUGUCAACUAGAGUUAAUACUAUUGAAAAUACAAUUUUAUUUUAUUUAUAUUUCAAACACACCAUUACAGACACUUAAUCUUAUUAAAUAUACUGCUAUAAAAAACUAUUAAUAUACCUGAAAAUUACCAAUAUUGGAUGAACUGCCACCAUGAGCUGAAUUGCCACCGUGUCCCAAACCUAUAAGUGCUUGCGUAUGCAGACACACUAUAUUCUCUAUCAACAUACCUCGUCGCUGCAAACCAGUAUAUCGAAAAUAUUUCAUGGCAUGUGAGUAAGGCAAGUGCUAAAUUGACCAUUUCCCACAUGAAUAUAAUCGUGCGCUCUCACUGAUGGUGUGGGUAUUAUUAUCGCGGUCUCGAUGCAAACCAGUGAGAACUUCAAAAAUAUUUCGAUUGCUGCAAUAUUACAAAUAUAUAUGCCAUUGUGACCACUUCCUAUAACGCUUAAACCGUUGCAUCAGUUGUGGCAUAAAUUGAACACCUCUUUCCAACAAGGAACAUACCUCUAGCCAUGGUUGUUCAAGUGUUGUGGAGUUGCCUGGACAAAAAAAAAAGGAAAAGGGUCAUAUAUAUAUAUAUAUAUAUAUAUCCCUCUAAUAUCAAAUAUUAUUUAAAGUUACAAUCAGUUAUACUAAUCGAUCAAAACUGCCCCUACCGUCAUACUAUUAAAUAUAUUUGCCCCUCAUUUGAGGGAAGGGACAUGUGGUAGCCUUUUAUACAUUUUUAUAACCCAACCAAUUGCUCAUACUGGAUACCCAAUAUUUAUAACCCUAAACCUGACCAUCCCAAAACGUAUUUCAUCUCUUUCACAAGAAAAGCUCCUUCCUCCAAAAAAUGGUGGUACUUAAAUUUAGCAGUAAAUUUAAAAAAUGAUGGUACUUAAAUUUAGCACUAAAUUCUUCCAACGAGCAGUAGUUAAUAUCUUUUAUUUAAGCGCAUACAACACCACGAUUCAAUUAUCAAGAAAUAAUGUUUAAAAGAAUUUCAAAAUAGACAAUUUAAGUUCAAAGAAGUCCAAAUUUGCAAUGAUAUUUGCAACCUCAAUUCUCAACAGCAACCAUAACUUAGAAUCAAAUUAAUGCUCAACUGCCAACUGCAAGUACUAUCAAAUCCUUCAAAUUAGAAUUUUCAAUCAUAGAAGCACUAAUAGAAUUUUUCACGCUUAGUUGCUCGAAUAUUUCGACUCGGAAAAUGAAGAUAUUUUUUUUGAACCUCUAAUCCAAUUCACCAAGAAACCCCACACCUCUUUUACUUGCAAAUAUUCUUUAACCAAGCUAAAAAGUAGUGGUUAAUCUAAUAUUUUAGCUCAACAAAAUAGACCUAGAUAAUUAUUUCAAUAGAAUAAUUCAACACUUUAACAAUUUGGGUUCCAACUCGGAUAACUUAAGAACCCAGCAGUUGGAGUUCGAUUAUUUUUACCAAAUUCUUUAAAUCAGUUGCUAGUACAAUUCUGACUCAAGAGCAUCUCCAAACACUCGAGCCAACUUUUGAAUUUUCAAGCAUCCAACACCACAAAAUUUCCUUUUCGGAUUUUUUUUAAAAUUUGGAAAUCAAGGCAAUAAACAAGGAAUUAUUAAAAUAAUUUUUUAGUCUACACUCUGAAACAAAAAGUUUCAAUUUGUAAGAAAUUUGGAAGCAUCUAGUCAUGGAGAGUUAUGGAGGAAGGAGCUUCUCUUGGGAAGGAGAUAAGAUAAGAGAAAUGGAUGAGGAUUUAGUUGAUUAAAUCUGGGAUGGGUCAAGCAUAGGGUUAUGGACAUCGGGUAUCCUGUAUGGGCAAUUGGUUGGGUAUUAAAAAAUGUAUAGAAGGCUAGCAUGUGUCCCUUCCGUCAAAUGAGGGGCAACUAUAUUUAAUAGUAAGACGGUAGGGGUAAUUUUGAUCCAUUAGUAUAAGAGAGGGUAACUUUAAACAAUAAUUGAUAAUAGAGGAAUAUAUAUGAUCAUGUUUCGGGAAAAAAGAAACUCGACAGAACACCUAGGAGCUUAUAGACUGUGUCUAUUGUAGAAUGCCAGACUGAUGAAGUCACAUGCGUAUUUAACGGUAUACUAGGGACUCUUAGGCAAAUACUUUAUCCCUAGGGACUUCUCCAUAAAAUAUAAUUACCCUAGGGACUCCUUAUAAAAAUAUAUUUCUUUCCAUUAAAAAAACUACCAUAUAUACAUAACUAGAGAAUAUUAUCUAAUAUAUUAUUUAUUGGGGAGAUAAGGUAAAUAAUUUAUUAUCUAAUAUAUUGGCCACACUAGAAAUCUUUAGAAACAAUGGUAAAUUUCAAACCUAAUAACCGUUCAAUGACCUUCACCCUUUCAUGUGGAUGGAUAUACACCUUGCGGUUUCAUUAAUUAUCAGUUACGCGCAAAAAUAUUUUAAUUAUAUAUUUCAAAUAUUUUGGGCCCCCAUAUCAAAUAUAUGAAUAAAGGCCAAUUUAGGAAAUUUUUUGUCAUUGUUAUAAAUAUAUUAUAUUAUGAAUGUUCAUUUAGUACUUUGUUGUAAAUAAGCUUCCUGAAGAAACUUAUUCAUAUGUGACUCCACCGUAAAUAUGUUUAUCUAUUUAGUACACUAUUGGAAAUAAGCAACCUAAGAAGUUUAUCCUUUUGGUACUUCGUUAUGGAUAAAUGUUACCCCGGUAGAAGAUUAUCUAUAUCUAGUACAAUGAGCUUAUCCUCUCGGUACUCCGUUAUGGAUAAAUAUUACGUAGAGGAUUAUCUAUAUUCUGUACAAUAGCAGCUUACAAGCAGCUUACAAUAUCAGCUUAUACAGCAGCGUGCAGUAGCAGCUUACAAGCAACUUACAAGCAACUUACACAACAACUUGCAGUAGCAGCUUCCUUUCUUUUUAUAAACAGAGGAGAUUUCAGUUCAUUAUGUACAUAAGUUUGAAGUUGAAUAAUAUAUUAGUUUAUCUCGAUACUUGUCUUUACUUUAUAGUCUUUAUUUUAUAACACGUUAUCAGCACGAGGCUCUGCCAUCUUGAGAAAAUUCUUUGAAAGUAUCAGAGGUACAGACUUGUUUUUCUAAAUAAUGUCAAAUCUUUCUAAACUUGAAUUUGUAGCCCUGAAUAUAUCGGGCAAAAGCUAUAUGUCUUGGGUGCUUGAUGCCGAAAUUCAUCUUGAUGCGAUGGGUCUGGAAGAUAUCAUCAAGGAUAAAAAUCAAGCAUCAAACCAAGAUCAUGCCAAAGCAAUGAUAUUCCUACGCCAUAACCUUGAUGAAGGCUUGAAAAUGGAAUAUAAAACUGUUAGAGCUCCAGUCAUAUUGUGAAAUAAUUUGAAAGAUAGAUAUGACCACUUGAAUAUGGUCGUUCUUCCACAUGCACAUUAUUAUUGGACUUAUCUAAGGCUACAAGAUUUUAAAUCUAUCAGUGAGUAUAAUUCUGCUAUGUUCAAAAAAUUUUCCAAUUAAAAUUAUGUUGUGAUAAUAUUACUGAUCAUGAUAUGUUGGAGAAAAUGUUCACCACUUUUCAUGCCGCGAAUAUGCUCCUGCAGCAACAUUAUCGAGAGAUUGGAUUCAAAAAAUAUUUUGAACUUAUCUCACAUCUUCUUAUAGUCGAGCAACAUAAUGGGCAAUUAAUGAAAACCCUUGAAAGCCGACCUCGAACUUCCACCAAGCUAAGUAUGGAAAAGGUUGUGGCCCCAGUCGUGGACAUGGCCAUGGUUGGGGAAGAAACUCUAAUCAUGGUAAUAAUAAUGCACCAAAGAAUCCUCCUCACCACCAGUAGUGGAAAAAGAAGGAACAAAAUCAUGAAGCGGUGUAAGUAACAAAUGCAGAAAAUGCUUGCUAUAGAUGUGGAGGAAAAGGGGACUUGUCACGUACUUUCCGUACGCCAAAGCACCUAGUUGAGCUUUAUCAAGCCUCCCUAAAGUAGACAGAGAAAAAUGCUGAAGCAAAUUUUAUUUCUGAAGAUAAUUUAGACUUCAUGCAUUUGGAUGUAGAUGAUUACUUUGCGCUCACGAAAGGAGAAACAAGUCAUGUGAUCAGUGAUGAAUCUGUAGAAAUAUAAAUAUUUUAAUAUUUGUUGAUUGUAGUAGAUAGUAUGGUUAUGUAAUUAUUGUACAUAAAUAAAAGUUGUGCUUUGAUAAUGAUAUUUACUAUCAUAUUUAUUUUGUUUAUGUCAUUUUGAAGAAUAUAGAUAAUCCUCAUAUUAUGUUUGGUUCAAAUACCAAUCAUGAAGAUAUUUGUGUAAUUGAUAGUGGAACAACUCAUGCCAUAUUCAAAGAUCGAAAAUACUUUUCUUAUUUGCAUAAGGAAAAAGCAAAUGUUUCAACAAUUUCUGGUAAUAUAAGUUUGAUUGAAGACUCCGGAAGAGCCACUAUAUUUCUGUUUAAGGGAACAAAACUUAUUAUAGACAAUGCAUUUAUUCUCCUCCAAGUCUCGAAUAAACUUGUUGAGUUUUAUAGUUUUCCGCCGAAACGGGUAUAUCAUGUUGAGACGAUAGAUGAAAUGAAUGUGGAAUAUCUUUGUAUUACAAAAGAAUGUUUCUGGCUAGAAGUGCAUUGUAGAGAAGUUACCAACUUUAUCUUCUGGCUCAUACUAUUCGAAGAUUAGUACAGAUGAAGCACACUCUAUCAUAACCAGAAGUUUACUAAUUCAAAUAUUUUGUACUUUGGCAUGGCCGUUUGGGCCAUCCUGGAUCAAUAAUGAUGAGACGAGUCACUGAAAAUUUAAGUGGGCAUCCAUUAAAGAACCUGAAGAAUCUUAAAAAUAAUAACUUUUCUUGCGAUGCUUGUUAUCAAAGCAAAAUGAUCACUAGACCAUCAUCAAUGAAGAUUGGCAUUGAAUCCCCUACCUUUUUGGAACGUAUACAUGGGGAUAUAUGUGGACCUAUUCACCCACCAAGUGGGUUGUUUUGAUAUUUUAUGGUCCUAAUAGAUGCAUCUUCAAGAUGGUCUCAUGUGUGCCUACUAUCAUCUCGCAACCUGGCGUUUGCAAAGCUAUUAGCCCAAAUAAUUUGAUUAAGGGCAUAAUUCUCAGAUUAUCCUAUAAACGUUAUUCGCCUUGAUAAUGCUGGAGAAUUCUCAUAUUAAGAUUUUGAUGAUUAUUGUAUAUCAGUUGGGAUAAAAGUUAAACAUCCUGUAGCUUAUGUUCAUACUCAAAAUGGCAUUAUAGAGUCAUUUAUUAAACGCCUGCAAUUGAUAACAAGACCACUACUUAUGAAAACAAAAUUGUCCACUACUGUUUGUGGCCAUGCUAUCUUGCAUGCAACAUCACUUAUCCGUCUCGGACCGAUACAUUAUAAAAAUAUUCUCCAUUACAAUUCGCUAUCUUGAACCAUUGACUGGAGAUUUAUUUACUGCUCGAUUUGCAGAUUAUCGAUUUGAUGAAAUAAAUUUCCCACAAUUAGGGGGAAAGUAAAAGGAAGUCAAAAGAGAAAUUGUGUGAAAAUUUUCAUCAUUAUCUCAUUUUGAUCCACGUACCCCUAUAUGUAACCAGGAGGUCCUGAAGAUCAUCUAUUUACAAAAUAUAGCAAAUUAAAUGACAGACGCAUUUACUGAUUUGAAAAGGAUAAUUAAGUCACAUAUCCUUGCAGAGAAUGUGCCUAUCCGAAUUGAUGUCCCAGCAGGACCAUCUACUAUUAUAAGAGCUAGUGAACCUAAAGCACGCCUGAAGCGUGGUGGGCCUUUGGGUUCUAAGGAUCGAAAUUCUCGAAAAACAUAAUCGACAAAUGAUCGAAACGAUACUAUAAAGGGAUCUCCUGAAGAGACCCAAGAUCUGAUUAGUUCUGAGAUUCCUGAAGAAAUCAAUGAAUCCGAGACUCAAGUGAGUGAGAAACUUUUAAUAAGUUCUACUGGUGAUGGGAUUAAUUUAAAUCGAUCUGAAAUAGUGGUGGAUAAUGUUUUUGCAUAUAAUGUUGCACUUAACAUUAUGCAAAAUCGUGAGGAUCUUGAACCCUGAUCUGUCGAAGAAUGUCAACAAAGAUCUGAUUGGCCAAAAUAGCAAGAGGCAAUUCAAUCAGAAUUGAAUGCACUUUAUAAAUGAGAGGUUUUUGGACUAUUUGUCCAAACACCUGCUGGUAUAAAACCAGUUAGUCAUAAAUGGGUUUUGUGCGAAAAAAGAAUGAUAAAAAUAAAAUUGAAAGAUACAAAGCUCGCCUUAUCGCACAAGGAUUAUCACAACGACCUGGAGUCAAUUUUGAUGAAACAAAUUCACCUGUUAUGUAUGCCAUAACAUUUCGAUAUCUCAUAAGUUUAGCACUACAUGAAAAGCUUGAAAUAUAUCUAAUGGAUUUAGUUACAGCUUAUCUGUACGGUUCACUUGAUAAUAAUUUUUUUAUGAAAAUACCUGAAGGAUUUAAAAUGCCUGAAGCAAAUUCAAAAUCUCGGGAAAUGUAUUCAAUCAGAUUACAAAGAUGUUUAUACCCAAUUUUGCCCUCAUAUUCUUAAAAUAGUAUAUAUACUUUCAAAAUAUCAUUUUUACAUCAUUACCUAAUUUAUAAGAAUUAUACAAGUAUUUUCUAUAAUUUUCCACAUCUUUAGAGCUUCAAAAUUGAUUUCUUCGCAUUUAAAUUACUUGAUUAUUUAUUAAUUAUCCCUUAAAUUAUUCUGUAAUGGUUUAAUUAUCUACAGUUAUUAUUUGCAUCAACAUACAUGUUUCAAAAUAUUUUACUUUAUUUUAUGUAAGCAUAUUUGUGUUUUCUUAAGCUAUUUACAUAAUUUUGCAAUAAUAGCCUAUGUUCAUAUAUAAGUGCUCUUUUAUUAUAUUAUGUGUCAAAAUAGCAUUUUAUAUUUUUAUAAUGCUAAAUUAUUAUUUUUAAUCAUUUUAGUGCAUAAAUAAUAUAUUUAUUUAUUUAUUAAGUAUUUUUAUAAAUCAUUCUUGGAUAAAGUUUGUGUAUUUAAAUAGAAGCCCAGUUUUAAGUCCAAUUUUCGGACCAAAAUUGGCUCAAUAACCUCAGCAGCCCAACCAAACGACCUAUUACCUUCUGACCCGCCCAGUUUCCUAUUCAAUCUCGACCGUUGAUCUCAAAUGAUCAACGGCCCAUAAUAAAUCCCUACCGCCCCUUAUAUCCCCAUAACCCCAAACCCUAGAGACAAAUCCCCCACCCCGCCGCCUCUGUAUUAUCUCAUCUCUCCUUUUCCCUCCUUCAGAAACCCUAGCCGCCUCCCCAAUCUUCUUCAAAUCUGAGCAAAUCAUGGAUUCUUUCUGUGAUUUAUUUACCUUUUAUGCGUUAUCUCGUUGUUACUUGCAUGACUAGGGCUUUACUUAGUACUUGCCUAAACAUGGCAAGUACCAUCUCUCAGAUUCGGGCGCGUCCAACUUCAAUCGCUAAGAUCUGGACAAUAUCUCGUCCAUAUACAUGGAAGAGUAGUUGAUUUCUCAUACUAGUAGACGGAUUUUCAAACCCCUCCCCUAAAUCCCCUUAAACAGACCUUAAUCACUGUUAUUCUCUCACUCCUACUCAUUCCACUACUCUAAAAUUUGAGACUUUAACCGGCUGAAAGCCAAGGCCACCGGAAUUCUAUUAAUCAACCUCUCUCAGUGUGAGCACUGCCCUGGGUUCAUUUGAAGCCUUUGGGAACUUUGACGCACUGAAAAAUUUGGGAAUUUUGUUGUUCUCUCUGUGUUACUGAUAAGCAAGCUGUUGGUUCUUAAUCUCUGCCUUAUUAGCUCGUUAAUUCUGCAAAUUGGUGAGUAAUAAGACUCUGGCAAUUUAUUAUCUUUUAUUUGGUAUUCAUGACAUUCUGAUUGUGGUGAAUUAAUACGAUAUUGUUUUCCUCUGUUCAUGUUCAUGUUCGUAUUUAAAUUUCAUUAUCCUUGCCCCUGUUUAUCUGAACCUACUUGAAUUCUGGGUUUCAUUCCUUUUAUAUGUGCGCAAUUGAAUAACUUAUGAUUAUUCUCAGUUUGUUAUGCUACUCUGAUUACUAGUUGCUCUUCAAAAGCCUUUCCUCAUGCCUUGCCUUAGGUUAUUGCAUUUCUUAAGGAUAUUAUCUCCUGCCCAGAACUUGUUUGAUUGAAUUUUUUUCCAAUGAAUCCCUCAUGCAUGUUCUACUGCUCUUCUGCUUACAUGAACCUUAUGUGUCCAUUAUUGUCUCAAUGUUUUAGCCUAAUAUAUUGCUACUUUGGUAUUUGGUCAAUCUUUCGUUCUUCAGUAUUGUCCGGUUUCUAGUUAAACCCCAAUACACUUGUUUUUACCAUUAUGACUGACUUAAGUUCUAAAGUUUGUCUAUCAUAUGACCUUAAGAUUUGACAUAUCUUUCAACCAUGAUCUUUGGACUUAGAAACCUUUGUGAUUAAGAUUCUUAUCGACUGUUAUAAACCAUGCCUACUUGCAUGUUUACUUGCCAUUCUCUGACUAUAACUUUGUUAGACCUUCAUGCCUUAAUCUCCUAGUUUUGAGUCUCUUUUAAGCCUAUUUGUGCUUUGCUAUAAUCAUGUUGUUCUAAAAACUAAGCAUGUAUGCUUGCCAUGUUGAUCUAAGUGAUAUGCCUCCUCAACUCUGCUAAUGUUGCAUAUACUGCUCUUUCACUUGUUUGAACUUAUAUUGUCAUUCUUUAUGCUAAAACUACUCUAUUAAGACUGUGCUCUAUUGAUACUUCAACUUUUCAUAAUUAGAUUCCCAGCUUGAAAUUGUCUUAAGUUGCUUUUGACCACGUCUGUGUUUAAAACCUCUUUAGUAAUAGUCUGCUGUCAAUCAUGUCCAAAAUGCAAACAUGCAUUUGCUUGCGUGUGUCCUACCAACAUGCCACACAAAUUUGCUUAUGCUCUAUAGUCCUGGGAAAUAAGUUUGUGGACUUUCUACUCUAUUCAAUUUGUUCAACAUAUAGUAUAUUGCUUGUGUGGCAAUGUCCUUCAUUUGGGCCUGGUAUUUGGUUCUAUGUGAUGCGGGGCUUGACUGUUGGAUUCAAACUUAUUAGAGUGAUCUUAUGAGUGGAAAUUCGAGGCUACUGGAGCUGUCGAAGGCCUGAAAAAUACUGGGUUAUCUGUACUAGGCUGUCAAUGGGCCUAUAGUGGUAUGCUUAUGUAAUUAUUCAAAUUUAAUUAUGGAUCUGUAAUAAUAUUGUAAUUGAACAGACGUGAUGAUUAAUAAAGGGGCGUGGUACUUUAAUUCUCGCACAAUGGGUAGAAAGCAUGCCUACAGGACUUAUGUGCUCUAUUUGUUAUUAUGACUCUUAUGUGUUGCACACUAAUAGAAAUCAUUCCAUUAGGGGAAUCACACACUCACGCAACUUGUUUACUAUCAAAGCAUGAGCUUAAAUACUCUAUUUAUCCCCAUGUCCGCUGUUAUGUGUUACUAGACAGCACGCCUAUAGGAAAUAAAUGCCAAUNNNNNNNNNNNNNNNNNNNNNNNNNACCUAAGUUCUUAAUUGAUUCAUCAUCUACUGUUAUAUCUAUCGCUCACCUAGAAAACAUGCCUAUAGGAACGAAGUGUUACAGAAUCAGUCUUCAACUAUCAGCUAUUUGAACCUAGCUAUAAAAUACUACUACUUGCUUAGAAAUCAUGCCAAUAAGAUCAAACACACGUAAUUCUGAGUAUUCCCAAUGGUUUUCAUUCCCCCUAUUGCGUAAAUCACUUAGAGACCAUGUCUAUAGGUUUUAAUAACUUAUAAUCUGUAUAAAUAGCAUAACAGUACCAGAUACUCUUAAACUGAGUAGUUGUUUGGAAACCAUGUCUAUAGAGCUUAAUGAAUGCAAUUUGCCUCAAUUCUGAAACUGUCUAGUGCCUAACGUAGAAAUAUGUCUACAUGCAUUUGUUGUCUAAGUGUGCAGGCUAACUUGAGCCUUUAACUGUCCUUAAAUGAAGUCCUAUUUGUUU
rnacentral:lncRNA from 1 species